UCCUUCUCGGCACAUAAUAUCGGUUUUAUUGUUAUGUAAAACCGUAAUAUUGAUGUGCCUUUGGAAAACAUACAGCAUUGUAUUAUGAAGACGUGUUUGUUAUCUGCUGGUGAAAUUAUUAAGCACAACGCUAUGAUGAAAUAGAAAGUCGACAGCGCUGCUUUAUGCAGAAGGAUUGUUUUACAGGCAAAAUUUUCUUUUUGGAAAAGAA
rnacentral:lncRNA from 1 species